rnacentral:rRNA from 1 species
GUCUUUCAGCGGCGGACGGGUGAGUAAUGCUUAGGAAUCUGCCAUUUAGUGGGGGACAACAUUUCGAAAGGGAUGCUAAUACCGCAUACGUCCUACGGGAGAAAGCAGGGGAUCUUCGGACCUUGCGCUAAAUGAUGAGCCUAGUCGGAUUAGCUAUUUGGUGGGGUAAAGGCCUACCAAGGCGACGAUCUGUAGCGGGUCUGAGAGAAUGAUCCCCCACACUGGGACUGAGACACGGCCAGACUCCUACGGAAGGCAGCAGUGGGGAAUAUGGACAAUGGGCGAAAGCCUGAUCCAGCCAUGCCGCGUGUGUGAAGAGGGCCUUUUGGUUGUAAAGCACUUUAAGCGAGGAGGAGGCUACUUGAUUAAUACUUAGGUAUGGACGUUACUCGCAGAAUAAGCACCGGCUAACUCUGUGCCAGCAGCCGCGGUAAUACAGACGGUGCGAGCGUUAAUCGGAUUUACUGGGCGUAAAGCGUGCGUAGGCGGCUGAUU